rnacentral:tRNA from 1 species
GCCGGCGUAGCUCAAUUGGCAGAGCAACGGUUUUGUAAACCGUGAGUCAGGGUUCGAUUCCCUGCGUCGGCUCCA